rnacentral:rRNA from 1 species
UGCGUAGGCGGUUAGUUAAGUCUGUUGUGAAAUCCCCGGGCUCAACCUGGGAAUGGCAAUGGAUACUGGCUAGCUAGAGUGUGUCAGAGGAUGGUGGAAUUUCCGGUGUAGCGGUGAAAUGCGUAGAGAUCGGAAGGAACAUCAGUGGCGAAGGCGGCCAUCUGGGACAACACUGACGCUGAAGCACGAAAGCGUGGGGAGCAAACA